ACGCUCGACACCUACGGGAGGCAGCAGUGGGGAAUAUUGCACAACGGGGGAAACCCUGAUGCAGCAACGCCGCGUGAAGGAAGAAGGUUUUCGGAUCGUAAACUUCUAUCAAUAGGGACGAAGGAAAUGACGGUACCUAAAUAAGAAGCCCCGGCUAACUACGUGCCAACAGCCGCGGUAAUCUGAGCGGGCUGGCAAGGC
rnacentral:rRNA from 1 species